UUCCCCAGUCGAGUUGAGUGUGCAUUUCCUUAGUGAAAUUGCUUUUCCUGCAUGAUUCAAGUACUUCAGUUCUAUCCUGACUUACUCGUAUCCCAUGCAGAUGUUUUUGUUCCCCGGCUAAGUCUUUCCAUGUUUGUAUGGAAUUCCUCAAGUCCCCUAGUAGUUUUAAGUCGUAGCCUGGCCUACGCAUAACUCCUUCUUCCCCCUAGAGUCU
rnacentral:lncRNA from 1 species